GCAUGCAGGGGAGACUCCCUGCCACAAGAAUAACAAGUUUGUGGAGCAUAUUUUACAGCUGAAAUGCUUCAAGAUUCUUCAUGACCUAACACUGGUGGCCAAGCUAAACCACAUGAAGAGUAUUCUCCUUUGAGUCCAUUUGCACCCUCCAGACCAGAGCCACUACCACAGUCUUGGAUUACUUUGCCCAGCCUGAAGGUAGUAAUGACCGCUGUUGAGUGGUUUGGAAGACUAUCCUGAUCUCCAGGUGAAUGAGGAUGGCCUCUACAAUGAACUCAGUGUUGUAAAAGCGUUAUAAGAGAGACAAUCCCACCCUGAAGAACUUGCAC
rnacentral:lncRNA from 1 species